rnacentral:lncRNA from 1 species
CUUGCUUCCCCGACAUUGCAGUUACAAAGAUUAAAGCUACAACAGCAAAUCUUACUCUCCAGGCGAUGCAGUGGAACAUAUUAAAGCCACAUCGAUGAAUCUUCCUUCUCUGACAUUGCAGUUAAAAAGAUUAAAGCUACAACAGCGAAUCUUACUCCCCAAGCUAUGCAGUGGAACAGAUUAAGCCACAUCGGUGAAUCUUGCUUCCCCAACAUUGUAGUUAAAAAGCUACCACAG